AGAGGAGCUACUUUGCACAAUUUCCGUGAUUUUACAGAUUACAUUUCAAAUUUGUAGAAAUCUGCCAUGGGAAGGGGGCGCUGGCGAAGCUGGGGCCUCGUCCGCUCAGACGGUGUCGCAGGGAGCGGCCAAAGCUGGAACCAGUUCCCAAAGCGUUCAUGGUCUCGUGGUUCACCAGGACUUUGGUUCAAGACAUCAGACUCUAAUCAAUGAGUUUUGGGAGACGCGCACGCGGCCGCAUGGGCCGUCUCGAAUAGCGUUUGUCGGUAAGGAGCUGGUCCGUCUGCCCCGUCAUGUCGACAGUCCCACGUGCUGGAGAGGAUGCAGGUAUGAAACUGGGCUUUUCCUCCAUCAAAUAAAACACUUUAAAUCAAGUUCUGUGCAUAUGCUAAAAAAAAAAAAAAGACAACGACUUGAUUACUGGAGAUGAACAGUGCACCUACUCAGAGACCAACAUUAAGCGGUCUUCGAGGUGGUGGGGAGAGUAUCUGUACCAUUACCCCUGUUCUGUCUCCUUGCAUUUUGGAUUGGGCUCCCACAUGAACACUGUAGAUACAGCAGCUGUUGGACCGUUUCCAUCGCACAUCAGCAGACAUUGCCCAGCAAGAAAAAAGUUGUAUUUGGUUUUUUAAUGUGCAAGAUAACAGGACAUAAAGACUUGGGGUGGCUUACGGCUGUAAUAUGUAAUUUUUAUUUUAAGUCUGUUGAUUUAUUUGUUCAGUUUUAUGUUUGUAUCUCAACAGCGUGUUCCCUGUACUUCAUACAGCUGUUUUUCAAAGUAUGAGUUUUCCGUCGUGCUAGUGCUGAACUUCAUGGCUCCAUACAGUAGAAUUUAGAUAUUUGUGACAAGUAAGGGGUAUUUUCAAGCGGCCAUCCAGCAUUACAGUAUUUGUUAUGAAAUAAGGACAGACUUUUAGAUUCUGAUGUUACUUUUUACUCACUUAGCACUCAUGUAAUCUUAAUUACACUGCUUAAAUUAAUUCUCACUUAAAUGAGAAAAAAAUAGGACAGUGUUGGCCCCAUUUGAUUUUUAUCCAGAAUGAUAGAAUGGUUUAUUCAGUCAGCAAGGAGUCUCAGAAUAAUACAGAUUUAUCUUCUUUUGCAAGAGUAUGAUAAAUUUGAUUAAUCUGGUCUUGUGGUCAUGAAGAUUAGUCCAUCUGAUGUGGCACAGAGCUGUUUGAUGAUUGUACUAGGAGGGGUUGUUUUGAGGCCAAGACCUCUCUCUGCAGAUGCUGUGCAGGCAAUGGUGACUUCUGCUGUUAAAUGUCAGGCUCUUCUCUAGUUCUGCUUCCCACGCUGGACAUGGCUCCAGCCUUACCCUGCCUGCUCACGUGGAGAUGUUGCAAGCUUCAAGAGCUUGAAAGGGAAAGUUCAGAUUUGGCCCUGAGCUUGGACAAUGCCAGUGGUAGAUCCAAGACUGAAACCACCAAGAGAUCAGGUCUCCCCUUCCUGCGUGAGCGCUUCUGGCUUAUUUCACGUUAGAGCAUGUUUGUGUUUUCUGCUGGAUGGCAACAAGAUCCUGGAGUCCACCGUUAGCUUGACUAAGAGUUGGGUCAGGAGUCCCCUACGUGGCCGUCUGCUCCCGCUUGCAGGAAGGGAGCCCGGCGCAGCCAUCCGCAGCAGUGAGGGGAGGUGAAGUGGCAGAGACCUCGGUGACACCCUUUGCAAACGGGGCGGUAUGGCAUUUGGAGCCUGUGCAAAAAUUUCGCUGGGGGGCAAAACCAUCAUUAAGAUGGUAUUCCGUAAGUGUCCGAAAUGGUGGAUAUCCCAAAGUGUCUGAGACGGUCUGGUUGCGCUGUACCCCGGGUGCCUGGAGACACCUUGGAAGGUGUGCUGCUUCACCAGGGACUUCUCCAAUACUUUACCCAUCUUUUCACCUGCUAAGCAAAGCCUUCAACACGGCAACGAGCAAGAGGGACAAAGCACAGCUCGGGUCUCUUACACAGCACAAGGCUUUGUGUCAUCUGAGUUAUAGGACAUCAGAUUACUGCAAGAGGUAUCUCCUUGCGAAGGAGAUGUGCCCAAACCUAUCUGACACCUGAGGCCGCCUGAAAUCAAACCGCGGUGCUGCCUGUUGAAUAUGCUACUUUGGACCCGCUGGAACUGAGCAGACAUCCAAGAAGGACUUGGAGGCUAAAUUUUGGUUUUGGCUUGGUUGAAAGAUCUGCAUUCCCAGGCACGGUGGGUUUCCCCCGUGGACCUUUAUCGUCUCCUGGCUGCAUGGACCGUUACUGGCUUGGGGAUGAAGUGUGAAGGGCAGAAACUCGCUGUGCACAGCCCGAGUGUCGGGAGAUGCUGCGUCUGCUCCGCUCCUGCCCCAGCCCGACAUCCUGUGCGACCUGCAAGCAAAUCACCCGGUCUCUUUGCAUCGCCGUACCUAGCCAUCCUCGUUCGGGGUAAUUAGAGCUUCCUCGCUCGUAGGGUGCUGGUAGGGGAACUUCAAGCUGCGGUGGUGGAUUCACACGUCGAAGUGGAGCCCCGCGUGCUGUGCUGUGCUCCACGAGAGGAAGCAGCUUGUGGGAAAGCGCUUGAUACAUGCUUUAUACCCAGAAGAGGCGUGGGAUGAAGCCAGGGCUGGGAAACUUUCCCCGUGGCAGUGGGCAUGCGGAGGAGGUUUCUGGAGGAGCAGCAGUUGAUGGUCCGCACACCCAGCAGCUCCGGUGCUCCCGACCAGCGGCUGGGCGACGGCCAAGGGAAGGCUCUGGCCAUCCGGCGGCUGUUGGGUGUCUAACGUGACAAGGGAACACCACAGGGAAAUGUGGAAGACAGACGGUCGAGUUAGUCCUGAAUCUGCAUUCAGGUUCGCAGCCAUGUGUUUUGCAACCGGUAAAGAUGAAGAUCUUAAUUUUGGCAUUUCCUGUGCAUUCUGCAGCCAGGACACAGCCCGUGUCUGCUCUGUGUAAGAGCCUUGGGAACGCUGGCGUGCCGGGUGUGUAUUUUUAGGUCACUUCCAGAGAAGUGGAUUCGCUUCGAUGGAACCAGCCCACCGCCUCGGCACUCAGCCGCGUUGUGGUGAGGAUGAAGGACAGUUUCCACCUCACAUCGUCUCGCUGUCGCAGGUUUUGACUUUGCUCACACGUCUGCUACUGCUUGAUCUACCUUCACUGACGCUCAGACUCUGACCCUGCCAAGAUCGUUAUCACACCAUCUCUGGAUUUCAGUGGCCAAACGCUCAAAAGCCGGGGCCCCCAGCAAGGGCUUCCUCUGCCUAACACAAAAUAAAGACCAACCUCUGCUGAACUGACUCAUCCCCCUGUAAUCCCUCUCUUCAGGAGGUCUCUCUGCCUUCCUGGAACCGCCUGGUUCAUUAGGAAUCGGGCCCUUGAAUGUGUUAGAAAUGUAGACCUCCUAUUCCCACAGGCGUGGCAGAAUGGAUGUGCAUGUUGUGUCUUAAUAAUCUGGUCUUCUGGGGUUGUCAGACUGUUUGAAGGAGGUUUGAAAUGGGGACCAGUUUUAUCCCACACCAGGCAUUGGGUCCUCACUUAACUAACUGUGCAACUCCAUAUAGAUUUCUCAGCCUAAAAUAUAGUACUAUACAGUGAUCGGAUAUUAUUUAGAAAGUAUUCGGUAAGUAACAUCUGCUGCCCUGAAAAUUAAAUUAAGGGUGUUAAAUAGGAGUUUAAAGAAGACAGGUUUGGGGAAAAAAAAAUCUUUGAAGGUACCUAUUUUAGCUCAGAUUUCAAAUUUAAAUUUCCUCAAAGAUGUUGGCAGGAUUCAUUUCUCCUUUGUACAUGUAACAUAUUUGUUCAUAUAUGCCAUUAUACAGCUCCUUUCAAGCUGAAUAUUAUACUGGAAUACAGCAAAAGCCAAAUUUAAGAUAUGAAACUGGAGGAGACCAUAUUUCAUACUGCAUAAAAUGCACCUCUGGAAUUUUCAGUUCUUCUUUUCUGCAGUAUUACAAAUGCCUUUAUAAAGUAUCAUGGCUGAUGAGCUUAAAAAAAAAAAAAAACACCUGUGGCUUUGGAUAUAUUCACUUCAAGUUUGUGGUUAAUAUUUCCCAGCCUGCUUAGAGGUGAGUGUAAGUUCAGUCAUCGCACCAGUCUCUGCUGGUGUUUCUAAAUGACUCUGAUAAAAGAUUGUGAAAAAUGGACCUGUGGUAAGUUGCAUCAUCCUUGUUAUGCAUUUUAAGAUGGGGACACAACCCAAGCUGAGUGUCC